rnacentral:rRNA from 1 species
UACAGAGGUCCCGAGCGUUGUUCGGAUUCACUGGGCGUAAAGGGUGCGUAGGUGGCAUAGAAAGUUUGAUGUGAAAGCUCAGGGCUUAACCCUGAAAUGGCAUUGAAUACUGCUGUGCUGGAGGUUUGGAGGGGGGACUGGAAUUCUUGGUGUAGCAGUGAAAUGCGUAGAUAUCAAGAGGAACACCAGUGGCGAAGGCGAGUCCCUGGACAACACCUGACACUGAGGCACGAAAGCUAGGGGAGCAAAACAGG